UACGUAGGAGGCAAGCGUUGUCCGGAAUUACUGGGCGUAAAGCGCGUGUAGGUGGUGGGACAAGUCUGCUGUGAAAGCGCUGGCUUAACCGGGCGAGGUCGGCGGAAACUGUCCGACUCGAGGACGGUAGAGGGGGGUGGAAUUCCCGGUGUAGUGGUGAAAUGCGUAGAGAUCCGGAGGAACACCAAAGGCGAAGGCAGUGUCCUGGGAGUACCGUGACGCUCAGGUGC
rnacentral:rRNA from 1 species